UCCUCCCCUCUCUCUCUGCCUCUUCCCUACGCACUGUCUCUCUCUCAAAUAUAAAAAAUAAAUAAAUAAAAAUAAAAAAGGCAGAGAGGCUGGUUUGGAGGGAGAGGGAUACAGGCACGGAGGGAGAGGAAGAGCAGGGAAAACAGUUUCCUGAUGAGGAAUUAAGGUAAGAUUGACUUCAUGUGUUUCCAUAGCAAUACCACCUGCCAAGAGACAGUACAGUCCACAGAAAGUAGUACAGGCUGGGGCAGGGGGCAGUGAGCCCACAUGGCUCUUCCCCUCUGAGGACGUUCUCCAGUGAAUGGAACACCUGCUCUCAGAUGUGUAAUGUCUCAAAAUAUAUGAUCUAAGAAGCUUUUCUCCUAAAACUGAAAAAAAUAAUUAUAAGGGGCAAAUCAGAAAAA